rnacentral:rRNA from 1 species
UGUUCCCUACGGGAGGCAGCAGUGGGGAAUAUUGCACAAUGGGGGAAACCCUGAUGCAGCGACGCCGCGUGAGCGAAGAAGUACCUCGGUAUGUAAAGCUCUAUCAGCAGGGAAGAAAGUGACAGUACCUGACUAAGAAGCCCCGGCUAACUACGUGCCAGCAGCCGCGGUAAUACGUAGGGGGCAAGCGUUAUCCGGAUUCACUGGGCGUAAAGGGAGCGCAGGCGGCACGGCAAGUCUGAUGUGAAAGCCCGGGGCUCAACCCCGGGACUGCAUUGGAAACUGCCGGGCUGGAGUGUCGGAGG